UCCGGUUGAUCCCGCCGGACCUGACUGCUAUCGGAUUGAUACUAAGCCAUGCGAGUCUUUGUAGCAAUACAAGGCGGACUGCUCAGUAACACGUAGUCAAUCUAACCUAUGGACGGGGAUAACCUCGGGAAACUGAGAAUAAUACCCGAUAGGUCAUUAUGCCUGGAAUGGUUUAUGAUCUAAAUGAUUCGUCGCCAUAGGAUGGGACUGCGUCCUAUCAGUUUGUUGGUGAGGUAAUGGCCCACCAAGACUAUUACAGGUACGGGCUCUGAGAGGAGAAGCCCGGAGAUGGGUACUGAGACACGGACCCAGGCCCUAUGGGGCGCAGCAGGCGAGAAAACUUUGCAAUGUGCGAAAGCACGACAAGGUUAAUCCGAGUGAUUUCUGCUAAAGGAAUCUUUUGUCAGUCCUAAAAACACUGAUGAAUAAGGGGUGGGCAAGUUCUGGUGUCAGCCGCCGCGGUAAAACCAGCACCUCAAGUGGUCAGGAUGAUUAUUGGGCCUAAAGCAUCCGUAGCCGGCUGUAUUAGUUUUCGGUUAAAUCCAUAUGCUCAACAUAUGGGCUGCCGGGAAUACUGUACAGCUAGGGAGUGGGAGAGGUAGACGGUACUCGGUAGGAAGGGGUAAAAUCCUUUGAUCUAUUGAUGACCACCUGUGGUGAAGGCGGUCUACCAGAACACGUCCGACGGUGAGGGAUGAAAGCUGGGGGAGCAAACCGGAUUAGAUACCCGGGUAGUCCCAGCUGUAAACAAUGCAAACUCAGUGAUGCACUGGCUUGUGGCCAGUGCAGUGCUGCAGGGAAGCCGUUAAGUUUGCCGCCUGGGAAGUACGUACGCAAGUAUGAAACUUAAAGGAAUUGGCGGGGGAGUACCACAAGGGGUGAAGCCUGCGGUUCAAUUGGAUUCAACGCCGGGAA
rnacentral:rRNA from 1 species